rnacentral:rRNA from 1 species
AACGAACGCUGGCGGCGCGCCUAACACAUGCAAGUCGAACGAGAAGCUGUAGCAAUACAGUUGUACAGUGGCGAACGGGGUGAGGAAUACAUGGGUGACCUACCCUCGAGUGGGGGAAUAACCAGCCGAAAGGUUGGCUAAUACCGCGUACGUUUCCCAGUUUACGGAUUGGGAAGGAAAGCGAUGCCGUGGGUAUCGCGCUCAAGGUUGGGCUCAUGUCCUAUCAGGCUUGUUGGUGAGGUAACGGCUCACCAAGGCAACGACGGGUAGCUGGUCUGAGAGGACGGACCGGCCACACUGGGACUGAGACACGGCCCAGACUCCUACGGGAGGCAGCAGUGGGGAAUCUUGCGCAAUGGGC